rnacentral:rRNA from 1 species
GAUUAACGCUAGCGGCAGGCAUAAUACAUGCAAGUUGAACGGCAGCACAGGUAGCAAUACUGGGUGGCGAGUGGCGCACGGGUGCGUAACACGUAUGCAACCUACCCUAUACAGGCGAAUAACCUUUAGAAAUGAGGGCUAAUACGCCGUAGUAUUACAGAUGGGCAUCUAUUUGUAAUUAAAGAUUUAUCGGUAUAGGAUGGGCAUGCGUCCCAUUAGUUAGUUGGUAAGGUAACGGCUUACCAAGACGAUGAUGGGUAGGGGAUCUGAGAGGACUUACCCCCACACUGGUACUGAGACACGGACCAGACUCCUACGGGAGGCAGCAGUAAGGAAGAUUGGGCGAUGGCCGCGAGGCUGACCCAGCCAUGCCGCGUGCAGGAAGACGGCCUUAUGGGUUGUAAACUGCUUUUAUACGGGAAUAAUAGAGUGUACGCGUACAUUUAUGCAAGUAUCGUAUGAAUAAGCAUCGGCUAACUCCGUG